CAAACACACUGUGCCUUUGGCAGGACACCUGAACAAUCCCCUUAACAUCAAACAGGACCGCAGACAAAGCUUCGAGGAUCACUACUGCAUCACAUCAUCUUACUGAGCACACUAUCUGAAUCCUCUGAGAGGGAAAGAUGGAGCCUUCAAAGGCACAAAACAAAGAAGCCGACCAUCAAACACCAUCACAGCACAAAACCACACUCACAGCUGCACAUGCAUGCACACAUGGAAGCAUCCAGGUGCAUUUUAACUGCAGAGACAGACAGACAUGAGGACAUGCAGGGGAUCAGCUGUCUGGAUUCACAAAGAGGCAAAAACAAAUCAGGGCCAUGUUUCCUCUCCAAGAGACAGCAUAAGCUAAAUCAUGCAGAUUUAGUCUCGUCAACAAACUGAUGGGCAAACUGGCGCUUAUGUGCUCCACAUAAACUGAACAAUCUGCAUGUUUUGACGCAUAUGCUUUGUGGAAAACCUAUUUGCUGCCUGGAUUGGCAAAAAAAAGGAGGUGCUACGUUUAUACUGCAUGUAAAUUGUACGUAGGAGGUUGAGGUAGAUGUAGUAGUAGGACUUUUGUUAGUUGCUUUUUCUCAACAUUUUCUCAACAUUUCUUCGUGCCGCCCAAGACGAUUGUGAUUGGAUUAAAGAAAUUCCAAUAAA